GAGGAGUUGAAAUGGUGAAGCUAAACCGACGCUAAAGUGAACCCAGCGCGCCACGGAACUCGGUCCGGCUUUAAAGAUGCCCACGGCAAGCGCCUCGUCAUGGGUGAAGUUCUUCACCAAUGCCGGCAUC